UACGGAGGGGGCUAGCGUUGUUCGGAAUUACUGGGCGUAAAGCGCACGUAGGCGGCUUUGUAAGUUAGAGGUGAAAGCCCGGGGCUCAACUCCGGAAUUGCCUUUAAGACUGCAUCGCUAGAAUUGUGGAGAGGUAAGUGGAAUUCCGAGUGUAGAGGUGAAAUUCGUAGAUAUUCGGAAGAACACCAGUGGCGAAGGCGGCUCACUGGUCCGGUACUGACGCUGAGGUGCGAAAGCGUGGGGAGCAAACAGG
rnacentral:rRNA from 1 species